rnacentral:rRNA from 1 species
GUUUAUCAAAAACAUGUCUUUUUGAAUUUAAUUUAAAGUCUAACCUGCCCACUGAAAUUUUAAAUGGCCGCAGUAUUUUAACUGUGCAAAGGUAGCAUAAUCAUUAGUCUUUUAAUUGAAGGCUGGAAUGAAUGGUUGAAUGAAAUAUUAACUGUUUCAUAUAAAUUUAAAAUAGAAUUUUAUUUUUUAGUUAAAAAGCUAAAAUUUUAUUAAAAGACGAGAAGACCCUAUAAAUCUUUAUAUUUAAAUUUAUAAUUUUUAUAUAGAUAAUUAAAAUUUUUAUAUAAUUAAAUAUUUUAUUGGGGUGAUAUUAAAAUUUAAAUAACUUUUAAUUUUAAAUUAACAAAAAUUAUUGAAAUAUUGAUCCAUUAAUUAUGAUUAAAAAAUUAAGUUACUUUAGGGAUAACAGCGUAAUUUUUUUAGAGAGUUCAUAUUAAUAAAAAAGUUUGCGACCUCGAUGUUGGAUUAAGAUAAAAUUUAGGUGAAGAA